rnacentral:lncRNA from 1 species
CAGGCUGUCAUUGAACAAUCCUUCUGCCUCAGCCUCCGGAGUGCUGAGAUUAUAGGCAUUUGCCACCACGCCCAGCUGGAAGCUUUUUAAAAAGUGGCUGCAGGAACUGGAAGUGGCCAGAUCAACUCAUCCUUAGCACCUGAGGAUGCUGGUGCCCUGAGACCAUACUUGGAGACUCUGCCCUGCUCUAGGCCAGCGGCUCCACACCCAGGCCAUACCUAAG